rnacentral:rRNA from 1 species
GUCUAAGGCCAUACCUUCCUGAAUACACCUGAUCUCCUCUGAUCUUAGAAGUUAAGAAGGGUCCGGCCUGGUUAGUAGUUGGAUGAAAGACAGACUAGGAAUAAGAUU